rnacentral:rRNA from 1 species
UACAGAGGUCUCAAGCGUUGUUCGGAUUCAUUGGGCGUAAAGGGUGCGUAGGCGGCGCGGUAAGUCGGGUGUGAAAUCUUGGAGCUUAACUCCGAAACUGCAUUCGAUACUGCCGUGCUUGAGGACUGGAGAGGAGACUGGAAUUUACGGUGUAGCGGUGAAAUGCGUAGAUAUCGUAAGGAAGACCAGUGGCGAAGGCGGGUUGCUGGGCUGACACUGACGCUGAUGCGCGAAAGCCAGGGGAGCGAACGGG